GACGGACCCCGCACAAGCGGUGGAUCAUGUUGUUUAAUUCGAUGAUACGCGAAGAACCUUACCAGGUCUUGACAUCCCCCGCGAUGCUUUAGAGAUAAAGCGGAGGUAUUCGGGGAGACAGGUGGUGCAUGGUUGUCGUCAGCUCGUGUCGUGAGAUGUUGGGUUAAGUCCCGCAACGAGCGCAACCCCUAUUGCUAGUUACCAUCAUUAAGUUGGGGACUCUAGCGAGACUGCCAGUGAUAAACUGGAGGAAGGUGGGGAUGACGUCAAAUCAUCAUGCCCCUUAUGACCUGGGCUACAAACGUGAUACAAUGGCUGGAACAAAGGGAUGCGAAGCAGUGAUGUGGAGCGAAACCCAUAAAAACAGUCUCAGUUCGGAUUGAAGUCUGCAACUCGACUUCAUGAAGUCGGAAUCGCUAGUAAUCGCGGAUCAGAACGCCGCGGUGAAUACGUUCUCGGGGUUU
rnacentral:rRNA from 1 species